rnacentral:rRNA from 1 species
UACGGGGGGGGCAAGCGUUGUUCGGAAUUACUGGGCGUAAAGGGCGCGUAGGCGGUUCGCUAAGUUGAAUGUGAAAACUCUGGGCUUAACCCAGAGCCUGCAUUCAAUACUGGCGGGCUAGAGUUCUGGAGGGGAUAGCGGAAUUCCUGGUGUAGCGGUGAAAUGCGUAGAUAUCGAGAGGAACACCAGAGGUGAAGACGGGUUGCUGGGCCGACACUGACGCUGACAGCGCGAAAGCCAGGGGAGCAAACGGG